rnacentral:misc_RNA from 1 species
UCCCUUCUCUCCUUCCUUUUCCUUUCCUCCUUCCUUUCCUCCUCUCCUCUUUUCCCUCACAUUGCGCCCUCUGGUAUUCCGGGGGGCAUGCCUGUCCGAGCGUCAUUGCGAACCCCUCAAGCCCGUCUUGUGUGAUGGGCCCUCCCGCGUCUUGGUCGUCAAGACGGGCCCGAAAUGCAGUGGCGGCUUCGCGGUUAUCCGAUCAGCCAGAGCGUAUGGGGACUCUCUCUCUUGUCACACGCCCGCGGCGCGGACCGACGCCUGUCGACCUUUAUUCAUCUUCUCUCGGUUGACCUCGGAUCAGGUAGGGAUACCCGCUGAACUUAAGC